GACGAACGCUGGCGGCGUGCCUAAUACAUGCAAGUAGAACGCUGAAGCUUGGUGCUUGCACCGAGCGGGUGAGUUGCGAACGGGUGAGUAACGCGUAGGUAAUCUGCCUGGUAGCGGGGGAUCACUAUUGGAAACGAUAGCUAAUACCGCAUAAGAGUAGAUGUUGCAUGACAUUUGCUUAAAAGGUGCCAUUGCAUCACUACCAGAUGGACCUUCGUCGUAUUAGCUAGUUGGUGAGGUAACGGCUCACCAAGGCAACGAUACAUAGCCGAACUGAGAGGGUGAUCGGCCACACUGGGACGGUGACCGGGCACAGAGGGCUAGGGGAGGGAGCAGUAGGGAAUCUGGGGCAAUGGACGGAAGUCUGACCGAGCAGCGCCGCGGGAGGGAAGAAGGGCGUCGGAUGGGAGAGCUCUGUUGUAAGAGAAGAACGCGUGUGAGAGUGGAAAGUUCACACUGUGACGGUAUCUUAUCAGAAAGGGACGGCUAACUACGUG
rnacentral:rRNA from 1 species